rnacentral:rRNA from 1 species
CACAGGUGCUGCAUGGCUGUCGUCAGCUCGUGUCGUGAGAUGUUCGGUUAAGUCCGCUAACGAGCGCAACCCUCGCUGUGUGUUAUAUGUGUCACACGGGACUGCCGGUCUUAAGCCGGAGGAAGGUGGGGAUGAUGUCAAGUCAGCAUGGCCUUUAUAUCCUGGGCUACACACACGCUACAAUGGCCAACACAAUAGGUUGCUAAGCCGCGAGGUGGCGCCAAUCCAUAAAGUUGGUCUCAGUUCAGAUUGCAGGCUGCAACCCGCCUGCAUGAAGAUGGAGUUGCUAGUAACCGCAGGUCAGCUAUACUGCGGUGAAUACGUUCCCGGGGCUU